rnacentral:rRNA from 1 species
GACGAACGCUGGCGGCGUGCCUAAUACAUGCAAGUUGAGCGAUGAAGAUUGGUGCUUGCACCAAUUUGAAGAGCAGCGAACGGGUGAGUAACGCGUGGGGAAUCUGCCUUUGAGCGGGGGACAACAUUUGGAAACGAAUGCUAAUACCGCAUAACAACUUUAAACAUAAGUUUUAAGUUUGAAAGAUGCAAUUGCAUCACUCAAAGAUGAUCCCGCGUUGUAUUAGCUAGUUGGUGAGGUAAAGGCUCACCAAGGCGAUGAUACAUAGCCGACCUGAGAGGGUGAUCGGACACAUUGGGACUGAGACACGGCCCAAACUCCUACGGGAGGCAGCAGUAGGGAAUCUUCGGCAAUGGACGAAAGUCUGACCGAGCAACGCCGCGGGAGUGAAGAAGGUUGUCGGAUCGUAAAACUCUGUUGGUAGAGAAGAACGUUGGUGAGAGUGGAAAGCUCAUCAAGUGACGGUAACUACACAGAAAGGGACGGCUAACUACGUG